rnacentral:rRNA from 1 species
AUGAAUCGAGGAGAAUUCCAGAGCUCCCUGGUGCAACAGAUGAUCUGGAGCGGCACUGGGGAUGGUGGUACCGGUAGUAUCAUCAGUAGCUUGAAGCCAUGCCACGAGGAACAAGAGGCGUCUCCCAAGCUGCCCUCCUUGUCUUCUCCCUCCAUGCUUUUCUCCCAGCAGUUUCCUCACAGCUCAUCAGGCCUGGGUCACAUCAACGGCGGCACCUCUCUUCUAAGCUUGCAUGACGGCAGCACCGGCACCCAGGAGAGCCACAUGCCAGAGUCAUGGAGCCAGAUGAUACUCAGUGGGGGAUUGGUUGGAGGUCAAGAGGGAGAGGGAUACAGCACCACCACGGCUCUCCUGUCAAAGGGACUAGAGAAUUGGGGGGAUCAUCAGGCUGCUGCAAGUGCAUGCAUGGUUGGAACCAAGGAGGACGGCUCCAUGCCUCAGUCUGUCGCCGGAGGCGCUUCUUCUUACAACUUCUAUGGGAGCCAUGUUGCUGGUGACGGACAUGUGAUCCAGCCCAAGUCCCAGCUGAGCCAGAUGCUCCUGGCCUCCUCUCCUAGGUCAUGCGUCACCACAAGCCUGGGCAGCAGCAUGCUCGACUUCUCAAACAGCAUGGCGCCGCCCCCACCGGAGCUGAGGAGCCACCACCACUCCGACAACUCAUCCGAGUGCAACAGCACCGCGACAGGUUCAGCUCUCAAGAAGGCUAGGGUUCAGGCCUCGUCCUCAGCACAAUCUACUCUAAAGGUGAGGAAGGAGAGGCUAGGGGACAGAAUAACUGCACUUCACCAAAUAGUUUCCCCAUUUGGCAAGACUGACACGGCGUCUGUACUGCAAGAGACCAUUGGCUAUGUCAGAUUCCUCCUGGGUCAAAUUGAGGCUCUAAGCUACCCAUACAUGGGCCACGGCAGUAACGGGGCAUCCAUUCAAAAUGGACCAACUGGAGAAAGCAACCCUGGCCUCUUCCCGGAGUACCCCGGACAGUUGCUAAACCAUAAUAACAACACUGGAGGAGUACAGCAGCAGGCUCUAGGCCAACCAGAGCAGCAGGGUGCUGUGAAUGAAGAGGCGAGCAAGGACCUGAGGAGCCGGGGCUUGUGCCUCGUCCCAGUCUCGUGUACGGCCCACUUUGGCGGGGACAACGCUGCUGACUACUGGGCCCCGGCGCCGCUUGGCGGGAUGAUCCUCCGGUAG